rnacentral:tRNA from 1 species
AUAUCUUAAGGCCAAAGCCCUCUUAAUAUCUUCAAUAUUACGCUUUAAUAGUAAGCUAUUAAAAUA